rnacentral:miRNA from 1 species
CCUGUGCUCAGGGGGACCCUCAACUGAAUGCCACCCCUGCUAGACUGAGGCUCACUGAGGACAGGUCUACACUCACCUCCUG